CUAUUGUGUGCAAGCAAAUAACAAACUGAACUUUCCCUGGAUUGUUCCACAGCUACUGACCUUAGCAGAAGUAAGGUGGGUCAUCUGGCAUGAUUUUCAGAAGACGUUUUUGCUAGCUGCUAGUGGGUCCUUUGUGCUUCAUUGACCUUGGAAAUCCAGUUGUUUUGCCUCUCGUUUCCAGUGGACAUGAAAUGAAUUGUGCCUCCUUCUUCUGAGGCAUCUGAGAAUAGCAAGCAUAGCAGAAACGUCUCUGUGGUAGCGUUGACUAAACUGUUUUCUCAGCUGGAAAUCUGGAGCCAUAAUUUCAUUUCUCAUACUGAGGCCUUUCCCGCUGGAUCACUGAAUCAGUCUUACAGAGUAUACAUGCUGUCAGUCAAGGAAAGGAAAAGCUGACUCAGAAGAUUUGGCACAGCAGAUCAAAAAGAACCCAUUGCAUUCACUUCAUGAGUUUUUCUCUUUUUUUUUCUUUCUCUCAUAUAUCAUAUAUCAUUAGCUAGUUAUCUUGCUAUCCAUUCUCUAUUUAACCAAAUCUUUCUAUACUAAAUUACACUUAGGGCUAAAAUGCAUUAAAGUGUAAACAUACUCAGCUGAAAUGAGAAUUGAGCAAAGGCAGAUAAGCAUUUCUAAAAUGAAGAGCACUAGCAAAGCCAUUUCAGUAUCAGGACAUUUUAAACAUGCACCUUCUUGUCUGGGUUUGAUUGUGGCAAAAGAGAAUAGUGUCUUCAUCGGUAUACCAGCCUCCUAAUGUUUGGGCCGAUGUAAUAUUUCUAACAGAGUUAAACUAAAUAUACAAAAAUGCGGGGUCUAGCUGAAUUCUGCAGUUUCUGUAUUUUUUUCUUUAUGUUUAGUCUAUUGGAAAUAAUCUAUUAGUGUAUUAGGAUAUUAACUUAUUUUGAAGUCAGAUAAGCAUUUGAAAACAGCUCCCUUUUUUUUCCAAUGGAGGAAGUAAAUCCUUCCCUGUCUGCAAGCAUCUACGCAUUUUUAAAAAACUGUGCACCCCUAAAGGCUGAGGUUUCAAUCCACAAUGUACUGGCCUAUUAGUCUUUGCAAAAGCAGCAAUUCUUAAAUAUGUGGAUGUAAAUACCUGAAUAUGAAUGGUGCCAAAUGUUCUCUUUGCUUUAUAAAAUGUGAAAAGAAAUAUUUGAUGGCGUCACAUAAUAGUUAACACAGCACCUUUAUUUCAUCUUCCAUAGGAAGUGCACAAUCAUAUACCUACAAAGAGAAUUUCAAACAAAAUCUCCAGGAAUAAGAGCUUUCAAUUGAAGUCACUGAUGGAUUUUAUUGUCACGCUCUUGAGCCAUGCUCAAAUUGGUUGGAUUAUGUCCAGCUAACACUCUUACCUGCUCAUCUUCAUCCCAGCUUCAUUCACAAUGCAAAUUAUAGAUGUGGUCAUUAGAUGCCUGCGACAGAAUGUUUGAACUAAGUUAUUACAUAGUGCAUUACUGUGCAAAACAUUACUGGCAAAGCAUGAACAGAUUUCAAAAAAAGGAAAGCAAAAAAGUUUAGCAUAUGUUGUUGUAUUUUUGCUAAAAAAAAGUGUGGGGGGGGCAAUUGCCUUCAACUCUCACAGCUUCUGGGCCUCAUCUGAGUGAAAGUAGAAACCCCAAAGGGAAAAACAGUUUCCAGUAAAGCAACCAAGAAUAAAACAUUUUUUAAAUGAGUAAGUAUACAAUUGUUUAUAAACAGCAUAAUUUCCUCAAUUAUCUCACUGUUGGCAAGGAGUACAUAAAUUGAGUUACAAGGCAAAAAAUGCAGUGCUGGUCAGCUCCAGCUGCCUGAACUGUUCCAAGAUGAAAUACAAAAGGUGAAACUGAUCAGGUUCCACACAUGCUUGCAGAUAUAUAUCACAUUUACAGGGGGGGGAAGAAGACACAUUCAUGGUCCUCAAGAAAAGAACAGUUCAUCCAAGAAGCCGUUCUGAAUUUAAAGUAGAUGCUAGCCAUUUUGAGCUUCAUUGGAAGCCAAAGACUUGUGAAGAUGAAUCGGAUAAGCUUUUUGCUGUGAGGAGAUUCCAGUUAUGGCUUUCCUGAUACCUACUACCAGAGCAGAAAUGAGUAAUGUUCUCUUUGAAUUAUAAAUUAUUUGCAUACUUUACGGCUGAGUUAUGCCUUGGGAACAAGCCAAUUACAGAUGGCAGAAAGUCUUAUAAAACUUUAGCUUUCAUCUUUGGGCACAAUCAGAAAAUGUUAAGCUCCCUUAAGUCCCAUAAUCAGUGAGACAAGUAUUUGCCUGUGUUGGAAGUGGCUAGUUCUCAUGGCUUAGGGUAUCAAGUCGUUAACCCACAGCUUCCCAGGCUUUGUCUCCCAAAUGAAAGAAUUGUAAUGCUAUUGCACAUUAAAAUGUGUAAGAGUCCUGGUUUGUAUGGCUGGGCAUCACCCUUCCACAAAGGAAUCUAAGACCACACUCCUCCAACAGCUGUAUGGUAGUUAUUUACACUUCUAUGAUACCAGCAUAGAAUUCUUCACAUAAUGAAGGAUUCAGAGAAAUCUGGAAUAGUUUCAAAAAAGGUCCAUAUCCUGUGACUUACUUGCAUCUUUCAAUUAACACCUGGAAGAGAGGCUGCUUAGAUAAGAUAGCUCUUCACAUUUACUCAAUUUUCUAGCUCUAACCCUAAUUAAAUAACUAUUUCCUUCUUUAAUCCUCAUUAAUAUCUAAUCUUCUUUGUUUAUUCCUAAACUGAGUAACUCUGGGAGUAGGAGGAAAAGAGAGGUUGGAGGGCUAUAAACAGCACGUGCUCACAUUCCCGAACCAGUAGCGAAGUAAUUGUAGAACAACUCAUACUAGACUACAACUAUACUCAUCAUUCUGCAAUCCAACAAGACAGACACAGACUUCAGAGGAUAAUUAGAACUGCAGAAAAAACAAUUGCUACCAACUUGCUUUCCAUUGAGGACCUGUAUACUGCAUGAGUCAAAAACUGUUUCAACUCCUAUCUUCAAAACAAUGCUACAGAGCACUGCACACCAGAACACCUAGACACAAGAACAGUUUUUUCCCAAACGCCAUCACUCUGCUAAACAAAUAAUUCCCUCAACACUGUCAAACUAUUUUACUAAAUCUGCACUACUAUUAAUCUUCUCAUUGUUCCUAUCACCCAUCUCCUUCCACUUAUGACUGUAUGACUGUAACUUUGUUGCUUGUAUCCUUACGAUUUAUAUUAAUAUUGUUUCCUGAUUGCUUCUUUGUACCCUAUGACUACCAUUAAGUGUUGUACCUUAUGAUUCUUGAUGAACGUAUCUUUUCUUUUAUGUACACUGAGAGCCUAUGCACCAAGACAAAUUCCUUGUGUGUCCAAUCACACUUGGCCAAUAAAAAAUUCUAUUCUAUUCUCGUACUAGACACAUAUCUAGCUCUGUUUAUUAAACCAUCUAGUUGCUCUGCCCAAAUGAUAAUGUAGAUUCCUAGGUUUUAAUCAAAUUUGUUUUUACUGUCAAGAAAGGAGAACAUCAAUGAAUGUAUAUUUCUUCAGAUGAGUGGAGGAGGAGUGGGGAAUGUCUUCUCUAAAUCUCCUUUUCAUUAAAUUCAGACAAGACAGUAUCUAUUCUGUAUUGCUGUUUGGAUUUAUUAAUUUGCUGCAUGAGAGCCAAUAAAGCAAAACUCAAUCCAAGCAAGACAAAAGAAAGGAUUUGAUUUAUCUGUAGAUAAUACUCUAAAUAGAGUUGCAUCAGUCCUUGCUUUAGACCAAUGUACUUAAUUUUAAAUUACUCAACUAGUCUCAGUAAGUCCAAGUACUUUAUAUAUCAGUACAUAUAUCAAUACAAUAUCAGCUAGGAAUCUGCCUACAAGAGAGAAUGUGUCAGUCCUUCAAGGUAGAUCAGACUAGAAAACCAAAAUUAUGAAUAUUAAUAUUAUUAUAAUAAAUUUCACAAGUCUGAGUGCACCUCCAUUCUUUUUAUCUACAAGAGAAUUAGGGAGGGUCAAGUCUUAGAUGCUUUCUCAAAUUAUCUUUCUGCCUCAGACUCAAAUUUCUUUUAGCUGACCAUUUUCUUGUUUGUGGUGCUUCCUCUGGUAAUCCUGAACACCUUCAUAUAUUUCAGCUUUCAUUCUAUAUCUAAGUGCUGGUCUGACAAAUCAUCUGACAUGCUAGGUUCAGACACUUGAGUGUGUUUUGUUGGAGUAUGGCACCAACAAAUAGAUAAAAUAUGACAUAGUUGGAAGGCUUUUGCACCUUCAUGGUUAAAAAAAUAAACACAAAUAAAAAAAUAUCUGUGGGAUCAGAUAAUACAUGACCAAAUCCUAUAUUUUUUGGUCACCAUGAUGUAAAAAAGAUGUGAAGACUCUAGAAAGAGUGCAGAGAAGAGCAACAAAGAUAAUUAGGAGACACAUGAAGAAUGGUUGCAGGAACUGUGUAUGUCUAGUUUAAUGAAAAGAAGGACUAGAGGAGACAUGAUAGCAGUGUUCCAGUAUCUCAGAGGCUGCCACAAAGAAGAGGGAGUCAAGCUAUUCUCCAAAGCACCUGAGGGUAGGACAAGAAGCAAUGGGUGGAAACUAAUCAAGGAGACAAGCAACUUAGAACUAAGGAGAAAUUUUCUGACAGCUAGAACAAUUAAUCAGUGGAACAACUUGCCUUCAGAAGCUGUGAAUGCUCCAACACUGGACGUUUUAAAGAAGAUGUUGGAUAACCAUUUGACUGAAAUGGUGUAAGGUUUCCUGCCUGGGCAGCGGGUUGGACUAGAAGACCUCCAAGGUCCCUUCCAACUCUGUUACUCCUACCAUCAAAAUGAUGCUAUAGAGCAUUGAACACCAGAACAACUAGACACAAGAACAGUUUUUUCCCGAAGGCCAUCACUCUGCUAAACAAAUAAUUCCCUCAACAAUGUCAAACUAUUUACUAAAUCUACACUACUAUUAAUCUUCUCAUUAUUUCCAUCACCAAUCUCUUUCCACUUAUGACUGUAUGACUGUAACUUUUUGUUGCUAUCAUUAAGGGUUAAAUUGCAACCUAUGACCAUCAUUUGUGUUGUAAAUGUUGUACCUUUGAUGAAGGUUUUUUUUUUCUUUUAUGUACA